CCUAAACAUCACCAUGUUUUGCUCAUAUAUUAGAAAAGUAAUAAAUUAAAAAGAUAUGCAUCAAAUAUCCCCUCGAACAAUGGCCAAAGUUGCUACGAUAAGCUCCAACUUCACAGGGUCAUAUUACCCCUGAACUCAAUUUAAUCAUAUUUUUGACACCCUUUUGUGCUGACAAGGCAACUUGUUAAAAUAAAAGGGAACCCACAUCAAUGGUGUCAUAUCAGCCAAAAAAAAAAUUGACAAAAAGUGUCGCAUCAACACAAAAGUGUGACAAAUAUACGGUAGAAUUGAGUUCAGGGGUAAUAGGACCCUCAUGAAGUUGGAAUGUGUCGCAACAAAUUUGACCAUAGUUCAAGGGCGUACUAGAUGCUGUACUCUAAAUUAAAAUAUACAUGCUUAUAUACUAGAUUCUUUUUUGAAAUAAUAUUUGAAAUAUUAUGUCAGUAAUUACAUUAUUUAUAUCAAGUGUGGUGGAAACAAACCUUGGGCUUCCUGCCUGAGGCAUCAAGACCAUCUCUCAAGUCCAUGCCUCCAUUAAUUCCUAAUAACAAAGUUCAUAAUCAGCACAUAUUAUAUAUUUUGCAUUACAAUAUUUAUCACUAUUUUUUGUUUCAACUACACAUAUAUAGACAUCGCUUGUAUUAGAAUAGGUUGUCUACGGCACAUCCCUUAGGUUCGGCCCUUUCCCAAACCCUACUAACGCGGAAUGUUUCGUGCAUUGAACUACUUUUCUCAUGUUAUAUACAUGCAUAGCAAUCAAAAGGGUCAUGAAAGAAUAGGGGACAACAUAAAAUCUUUCAUACUAUUAUAUUAUUAAGGUCAUGACUUAAAAAAGUUAAUCACAAGUAACUCUAACCGUAAACCUAAGUUGCUUAAACUCUUCAAAAACGUUGUGGCAAUUAUUGUGUCGGAUCCUCCAAAAAUGUACUACUUUUGAAGUAUCCGACACAAAAUGUACUACUUUUGAAGUAUCCGACACACGCCCGAUAACAUUUUUGAAGAGUCCGAGCAACAUAGCCGUAAACACAAAUUGAUAAGCCUACAUAUCACGACGGAUCGAUAAAGCUACACCAAUAACGUAAAUGUCGUAACGCUGUUAGUGUAUAUAAGUUAAACUCGAAGAAUAGAAAACUAUGUGUAUAUACCAUAAGGCUUGUCAGUCUUAAUCUUCUUGCCACUUGCCACAACUCUGAAGGAAGAAGGAGAUCUUGAAAGUGAUGGCAGUCCUUUCACUGUUUUCUCCAAAGUGAAAGUUGGCUUUAAGCUCAAUGAGCUCAUUACUGUGCUUGCCAUUUUCUUC
rnacentral:lncRNA from 1 species